rnacentral:rRNA from 1 species
UACGGAAUGUGCAAACGUUAUUCGGAAUCACUGGGCUUAAAGAGUCCGUAGGCGGCAUGUUAGGUGAGGUGUGAAAUCCCCCCGGCUCAACCGAGGAAUUGCGCUUCAAACCGGCGUGCUAGAGGAAGAUAGAGGUGGGCGGAACUGAUGGUGGAGCGGUGAAAUGCGUUGAUAUCAUCAGGAACACCGGAGGCGAAAGCGGCCCACUGGGUCUUUUCUGACGCUGAGGGACGAAAGCUAGGGGAGCGAACGGG